rnacentral:rRNA from 1 species
UUUUAAGUCCAAUCUGCCCAAUGAAAAAUUUUUAAUGGCUGCAGUAUUUAUAACUGUACAAAGGUAGCAUAAUAAUUUGUUUUUUAAUUUAAAACUAGAAUGAAAGAUUUAAUGAAAUAUAAACUUUUUUAAAUUAAAAAAUUUAAAUUAUUAUUUAAGUAAAAAAACUUAAAUAAAUUUAUAAGACAAUAAGACCCUAUAAAAUUUUAUUUUAUUUAAAAUUAAUUAAUUAAUUUAAAAAUAAAAUUUAAUUGGGGUAAUUUAAAAAUUAAUUAAACUUUUUAAAAUUAAACAAAAAUUUUUGAAAAAAUUUUCUUUAUAUUAAAAAUAAUAAAAUUAAUUACUUUAGGGAUAACAGCAUAA